CCACUGCACUCCAGCCUGGGUGACAGAGGGAGACCCUGUCUCAAAAAAAAAAAAAAAAAAUAGAUGGGGUAGAUGCUUUUGGAAGAAUAUGCAGUCACUGCUCACACCAGCAUGGAACAAGUGGACUGGGGUUACUGCCUGGCGAGUCUCUUUCAGGUCCCUGAAUGCAGUUAACUCAGCGAGUCCUGAGUUCCCCAGGAGGUGGGCAUUCCCAUCUUACCCACGUUGCAGAUGAAGACACUGAGGUAUUGGGAGAACCUGCCCAGGUGAUACAGGUAGUAUGUGGCGGUUGGGGGAUGUGAACUUGAGCUCCUGACCAACUCUGCUGCAUGGGCUGACAACUCCGGCUUCUCCGGGAGAGGGGCAGGGGCUGAGGUGGGGCUUUUUUGUUUUUGUUUUUGGCCUUUCUGAGUCCUCUGUGCUUUCUUCCCAGGUGCAUAGAUGACUUACUUUCAGAAAAUGUCAACAGGGUGCUCUGCAGAGGGGCAUGGGCUUUUAUGCCUUUAUUAUGCUUUUCUGUAUUAAAAGAAAAAUACAGUCAUGUGAUUUUAGAAACUCAACCCAUGGAAGAGAGAAUACUGGGUCUGUAGGAAAUCUGCAAAGUGGGAAAGAUACUUCUGGGCUUGGUGGUGGCACCUUGGAGCCUGCUUACGGAAAUCACCUCUCGUUCCCGUGAUGCUGAAAGCAGAAUGCUGGACAUGGAAGAACCGCGGUACUCGAGCUUCGUCUGCUGCCCCACACCCCACUGGCUGUUGCAAGAGUGACGUUGCCAUUGGUGACUGCAGGUCUCCCAGCAGCCUGGUGCAGAGAGGCCACUUCAGGCUCGAACAGAGGCCCGGGUUUCCACGGGAGACAGCAGAGCCACGGUGUAGCAGGCAUCCAGCUCUCCCCCGAUCAGUUCCGUGACUUGUCGGAAGGCCCUCCCUCCCGGUCAGACGAAGAAAGGACUGGUGGCCUCUGGGGAUCCUGAGCCUGUCUCCAUGGGAACCAGCUCACCCACCCCCUCUCUGGCACCAGAACAUUCUUCCAGAGCUUCACUGGAGCCUUCCUCUUCAGCAUGACCGUCCCUGGCCACCUGAUCCAGAGCUGGCGGCUCCCAGGCAUAGCCCAUCCCUGCUGCGGCUCUGCACUGCCCCAGUCCUCACCUGCAUGCAGGGGACUAUUCACAUGCUGACCGUCUGUCCAUCUCCCGUAAGAACGUCGGCUCCUUCCACGUCUGCUGGGCGUGGAGGAUCCCUCACAGCCUCCCCGACCUCAGAGCCAUGAGAGACUUGCAAAGCUUGAAACAAACUCUGAAAGGACUCUUCACAGAUAAAUUCCUCCAGGUGCAUGUUUCAAACAAUUUUAUUAUCUAACCCAAGAGUAAGUUAGCAAUCGAUUUCCUAAUCUUUAUUGAUUGGCAGUGGGCAGGCUAGUGUGAUUAAAGAUGUGAGAGAGACUUGCCAAAUAAAAUGCAU
rnacentral:lncRNA from 1 species